rnacentral:rRNA from 1 species
CGUGUAGGCGGCCUCUUAAGUCUGGUGUGAAAGCCCGGGGCUUACCCCCGGAAGGGCACUGGAAACUGGGAGGCUAGAGUACCGGAGAGGAGGGUGGAAUUCCUGGUGUAGCGGUGAAAUGCGUAGAUAUCAGGAGGAACACCGGUGGCGAAGGCGGCCCUCUGGACGGAUACUGACGCUGAGACGCGAAAGCGUGGGGAGCAAACAGGAUUAGAUACCCUGGUAGUCCACGCUGUAAACGAUGGGCACUAGGUGUUCGGGGUAUUGACCCCCUGAGUGCCGCAGCUAACGCAUUAAGUGCCCCGCCUGGGGACUACGGCCGCAGGUUAAA